CUUCUGCAUAAUGUUUCUGUUUAAUGGGUUUUUUUGUGCUUUUGCACAUAAAAUAGCUCAGAGACCUACAGAAUUUCAAAGUUUAAUCCCUACUUAAAUGAUUUAGACCCAGCCUGGAUGUCCACUCAGAGUCUUGAAAGAGAAUGUGUUUGGAAGGUCUCAUGAUCCAGCCACCUGAGAAGGAACACAGGCUCUCCUACAGCAUCAGUCCUUACAGGAGCCCUCUCUACAGCUGGGAAUAGAAAGUGAAUCCUACACUUGACUGCAUUUUGCUGCAGAGAGGGAUUUGGAUUUUAUUGUACAGAUUAUUUUGAUUAACAUGGGUGAUCCUGGAGACCUCUCUGGCCCACAGGAGGGAAGAUCACUCCAGUUUUGUGAGAAAUGCUGAUCUUGGCCCAGUUGGAGGAGCAGGGCAGAGGAAGCCAGAGGUUAAAUGUCAUGAGCCACACUACAGAAGAUGAUUAUACUGGCAAAUAUUCCAAGAGUGGACCUUGCCUGAGAUGAAGUGACAAUAAAAUCUCACUGCAAGGGAAGAAAACUCCAACAGGAGAAGGAGGUUUCUCAGUUCAGCUCCUGCUCUAGGUCCAGCCACUAAUCCUUCUGGAUUUGUCUGCAAGUUCUGCUGCAAAACACCAUUCCAGUGAAAUUCAGCCCUGCAGCAUCCAGCUUCAAGUGGUGUUCCCACAUAUGAGAUGCAGCUUUAGUGUGAUGGAGGCAACACAUCUGUGCUGUGAUCCCUGCUCCUUCCUGGCCUAAACUGCUGCAGGACUUUGGUAUGAGGGCCCACUCCAAAAAUGUCCCAUUAUAAAUAGGUGUAUGAAUGCAUAGUGAACCCUUAGCUGGUAUUUAGUUUCUUUUCUUUACUAUAAAAGAGCCUGCAAAUGUGCAGCAUACUUCUAAAGUCCUAAGAUUUCUGUUAAAUAUUAAUUUGCCAGCAGGUUCUGCAUCUAUGCUCCAGGUAAGGACUUGUACAUCUGACAUUACAGUUUUAACUGGUGCUUGUUUCAAGUCACUCAGAGAUGGUGGAUUUUCCUCUGUCUUCAGUUUACUUUACCACAUGAAAAACAGUGAAAUUUUGGCCAGUGCUAAAGAACAGACAUAUUUUUUUUUCAGGGUCUCCAAGGUUGCCUCUUGGGAGAAUCCUUGUUGCUGGUGAUGACAAAAUUAUAUUACACAGUUAGUCUUAAAAAUUAGGGGAAUAUGUCCACUGUCAGCUCAGAGCUGGCCUUGCUUCAGGCCCUGCCAGGGUAAGAGCUAUGGAUGUGAAAUCAUUAGUAGCAAAAUUUAUAAGGAUGAAAAUGAUCUAUUACGAUUUUUUUAUGGUUGGUCCAUUUGUUAGUGCCAAGAGUUGUUCAGGCUGGGGCUGGUUCAUGGUCUCCCUGCCAGGCUGCUGCUCUGUGCUGGUGUCAGUCUGGUUGCUGCUCUGUGCAUACAGCUCUGGACAUGGCAUUUACUGCACUCUUGUUUUUUCUUCACCCUGAAGUACAUGGGGGGCACCUUGUGUUCACACCUUCCUCUGCCUGGGGUGUGUCUGGGUUUCAGGUCCUUACAAGCUGGAAUGUACCUGAGGUGCACAUCUAGAGCUGAGGAAGAGGAUUGUGUUCUUGGUUUGCAGAAGAGAUGUCCCUGCUCCUGUCUUCUAUUCUUCAUGUCUUUGACUCUUUUUCUUCUUUGGACUCCCUUCCUCUGGUAUCAGCACUUCUAAAAGCCUGAGAUGAUCUUGUUUUUCUCUACACUAUCCUUGUGAGUUCCUUCUAACUCAGAAAAUUGUGUGAUUCUGUAUCAUUGUUUGGUUUGUUGUCCUUUAGUUCCUGUGCUAGCAUCCUGCCAGCCCGUUAUAACUUGGAAAACUUACAGGUGAAAGUCCACAGUAAAAUAUCAAAGUAGCUUAUGUUAAGUUUCUUCUCUGAAAAGCAUUUCCUCCCCACUUUGUUUUGAAAUAUUGUAUUUUGAAUACUUUUCAUGGAGGAAACUUAACAUGAGCUGUUUAAUGGCCAUGCAGCCCCUAAAUGUUCCCAGGACUAACAGAAUGGUUUCAGGACUGCUCUUUUUCCAGGAGAGGAUCCAGUACUCAAAUCCUAAUUUGAGGGCUGAUAUCUAAAACAGGAACACUGGCAUCUCUCAGUUUGCUGAUAUUAGUGUUUUCAGGGAUUUCCUGGCAGCACCCAGUCUUUACCCAGAUGUGUGGAGCAACCAGACGUGUGAAUAUUUAUUUGAAGCACUCCCUUCUGGUGCAUUAUUCUGUCACUGCCUUUUAUUGCUGUUGCUUCUCUGACUUUUUUUUUUUUUUCUUAUCCCUGCCUGUUUCUCUUCUGUUUUUCAUCGGCUUCUCUUUAAAUUUCCCCUUCUCAAAGGGUUUCACUGAUCACCCACACCCUUUCCCCCCAGUGUUCAGCCCCCAGAUGGCUGGUGCUGACACAGUGUUAUAACUAAACCUGGUUGUGCUAAAACCAAAUAAGCAAAAUUAAAUGCACAUUAGCUCACCAUUACAGGAUGCCUCUGGACUACAGUUAACAACUUCAAAUCCAUUAGUGCUCAGCCAGCAGUAAAACACUCUUCAUCAUAUCCCUGAGAGUUGGAAAUGCACAUGAAAAACCAUGUGGUUAAGGCUCCUGAUGAGCCAAAUGCCUCCUCCAAGCCUUGUAAAUAUGUAAAGUUGUCAGGUACUCCAUGCUCAUAAUUUGUUGUGGAUGUGAACUACCAGUUUUUCUUAUGUAACUUUAUUUCAAAGUCAGGAAAGAGGAUGGGAAGAAUGGGAAAAACACUGACUGAAGGAUGAUUUGUGCUAACCCUGAUGACAUUUCUCAGCUAUUAAGCUGCUUGCUUUUACCAGCUGUACUGCCAUAGCUAAACACCUUGGGGCUGUGGUGGUUGUUGUGUGGUAUCUGCUGAGUUUUGGGGUGCCCUGGCGACCCAGCUGAACAAUUUCAGCACUUACAAAGGAUCUGCCAUCACUUGAGGUGGGACUUGCACAGCACACACAGAAACCAGGAGAUAAAUGGUAAUGUGGGCUCACCUGGGAGCUACACUUGACCCAACGUUUCAUCCAGCUCUGUAUAAUGAACUUGAGAGAGUCCUGCUUGAUAGCACUUAUUAGGAACUGGGAAUUAAAACUGAUAUUGCUAAGCAGCAAAUACAGUUGCAACAGAGAGGAUUAAAGGAACAGGCACAGUUCAGAACUGAAAUAAUCUCAUUAUUUCCGAUUCCAGUUAUGCCCAAUGCAUGAACUAAAUGUUCAGCAGCACCUGGUGUGUCUGCUACCCACUGAGCUCCCAGCAGCAACAGUUUCAUUCAUUCUCAUUUCAGAGAUUGUUUUUAAAGGAGAUCCUAAACUCUAUGGUGAAGCUGCCUUUCCUGUAACUCCAGGGACAGAAGAAAACCCCCAAAGUAUCAAAUAUUUCUCAUGAUGCCCAUGGCUGGUGAAACACUGAUUUCUAGCAGAACAUUAAAAACCACAAAACCAAAACUCAAACAUUUGUGAAUAGGUACUAAUCAAAACCCAGAGACAGCAAAUUAAUGAUAUUCUUGAUAAAGAUUCAAUUGAAAAAUACUGAGAAGAUACUGCAUCUUCCUGGAAGCUGUAUUGGUACAGAAAUGGUAAUCAAGUCUUCAGGGUUUUGCAUUUCUGUUGGGGUGCAUUUCUGUUUGGGAAUUAUGCAAUUCAACUUUAAAAAACCCAUAUGCACAUGAACUAGUUUUGGGUGUUCUGUGUUUUGCACUAGAGGUUUUUUUCAACUGUACAUUCAAUGUUUUGAAUGUACAUACACUUGUACUUUGUGGGGUACUUUCCAAAGGUGAUAUAAAGGACCCAGUAUAAAAAGAAUAAAAUAUUUUAUUAUGUGGGCAAUUAAAAAAGUGAUUAUGUAAAUGUUGAUUUUAGAGAUUUACAUGUGAUUAAGCAGGGUUUUAAAUGUCCUGCAGAAGAGCAUUGUUUCAUUUAAUCAUAACUUUUUAAAAUGAAAUUGUGGGGU